UUUUAUAGAACAUGGUGGCUUCGCGCAAAAAUUAAAGUAUACGAAAAUUAUAUUAAUUUUUAUGAACUGCAGAGAUAGGCAGCUAGUGCAGUGUGUCGGUUUCCGUCUUAGUGUCUUGUUAUUCGAGUCUAAAUAGUAAACAAAGCAAAUGGCGUCAAACAGAUGAAGUUCUCUCUCGUUAGAAAUUAAAAGAAGUUGAUUUGGAGAAAAGUAAAGCUCCUUAAGCAGAGAAAAGACACAAGAAUGUAUUGAUGUUGGAUGUUUAAGUUGAAAAAAUCAAACUAAAGACUUCAGUAGAAGUGAAAUGAUCCCAAAAAGAACUUAAGGGGGGAAUAUGUUUCAAGGAAUAAUGAAAUCUAGAGUAGAAUACCAGAAGAAAAAUGGUACAGGAGAAAUUUCAAGAUCUAGAUUGGUAAAAUGCAUUCUAGAUGGAGCUUAGUAAAUGCAUUUCAAGAUUGAGCUUAUUAAAAAUUGAAUUCUAGAAAUAGAAACCUUUGAUUACCGUGCACUACAAGCUUUUGCUUACGAUAAUGUCGAAUCAUUUUGGUGUUGCAGAAAUUGCAAAAGAGUGGAUGGCGUCAUAUCUACAAAACAGGAGUUUUCGUGUAAAAGUUAAGAAUGAUUUCUCCGAUGUAAAACAUGUCAAUUUUUCAGUUCCACAAGGUAGCAUCAAUGGUCCGAUCUACUUUAUCUGCUAUACCAGUACACUAGCAUCCUGCAUCAGACACAAUCAAACAUUAGUUGGCUACGCCGAUGACCACAGCUUGUAUGACAGUUUUAAAGCCGGAGAUCUUGAUGCAGAAUCUCAUAUUGCUUCCCGCGUAUCAGAGUCCUUAGACGACGUUAAAAUCUGGAUGCUGCAUAAUCGACUAAAGAUGAACGACGAAAAAACUGAGGUUAUUAUCUUCUGUGGUAGCCGUCAGCGCCACAAGUCUACCAUCCACGAAUUAAGAGUUGGGGAUUCUGUAGUUGGGUCUUCAUCCCGUGUUAAAUUCCUGGGGAUGCAUUUGGACGAAAACUUAAACUUAAAGAGUCAUUUUGCCCAGAAGACUUGUUGUGCUGCUUCGGCAAUGUUCAACUUGCGGAAAUUGAGACCGUUUCUUUCGCGAGAAUCAUCUCUUCAAAUUGCCAGUUCUUUAGUUUUCUCCCAUAUGGAUUACAGAAAUAGUCUGCUCUGUGGUUUGCCAGCAACUACUCUUCAACCUCUCCAACGAAUUCAAAAUUUUACUGCAAAGCUAAUUCUUGGUGUUAAUUACGGCCAUAGCUCGACUGGUGCUCUGAAAGAACUUCAUAUAUUGCCAGUUAAAGUCUGAUGCCAAUUCAAGCUACUGGUACUGGUGUAUAAGUGUCUCCACAACCUUGCCCCUGUCUACCUUUCUGAAUUAUUGCAGUCCCAAACUUCAUCAUGCAAUACGAGAUCGUCAUCAAAAAACAUGUUAUUUAUACCCAAGACAAAAAGUAAAACAUUUGCAGACAGAUCGUUCAGUGUGCUAGGACCGCGGCUCUGGAAUACCCUUCCAGAAAGUGUGAAACAAUGUCAAACUGUAACGGAUUUUAAAAAGAAACUCAAAACAUAUUUUUUUCGUAAAGCAUUUCUUUAACGUUUGUGUAAGACUUUGUGAAGCGCCAUUGAAUGCAUGGCAGUAAUGUGCACUAUAUCAAAUGUAAUAUGUUAUGUUAUGUUAUGUUAUUACAUCGUUUCUUCACAGACAGUUGAGUUGAUGAUAAUGUAACAAUAAAGAACUUUUUUCAUUGGAUCUUAUUAUUUCAUUACAAAUUAUGAAUGUAUAUACAUGUAACAUUUUGUUUUAUAUUUUGAAAUAUUGUAUAUAUUAUGGAAAAUUGUGAUAAUUGUUUAUUAAUUUUGAAAUAUCUAGACUGUGAUUUGGUUUUAAUUCAUGCAUAUGUAACGU